rnacentral:rRNA from 1 species
AUGCAACCUACCCAUAACUGGGGGAUACCCCGGGGAAACUCGGAUUAAUACCCCAUAGUAUUAUCAGAUGGCAUCUGAAGAUAAUUAAAGAUUCAUUGGUUAUGGAUGGGCAUGCGUAUGAUUAGCUAGUUGGUGAGGUAAGAGCUCACCAAGGCGAUGAUCAUUAGGGGUCCUGAGAGGGCGAUCCCCCACACUGGUACUGAGACACGGACCAGACUCCUACGGGAGGCAGCAGUAGGGAAUAUUGGUCAAUGGGCGAAAGCCUGAACCAGCCAUGCCGCGUGCAGGAAGACAGCUUUCUGAGUUGUAAACUGCUUUUAUAUAGGAACAAAGGGGUCCUGCGGGGCAAGAUGCGUGUACUAUAUGAAUAAGCACCGGCUAACUCCGUGCCAGCAGCCGCGGUAAUACGGAGGGUCCCGAGCGUUGUCCGGAAUUAUUGGGUUUAAAGGGUACGUAGGCGGAAUAAUAAGUCAGAGGUGAAAUCCUGCAGCUCAACUGUAGAACUGCCCUUUGAAACUGUUAUUUCUUGAGUAUGGUAGGGGUAAGCGGAAUUUAUAAUGUAGCGGUGAAAUGCAUUAGAUAUUAUAAAGAACACCCGAUAGCGAAGGCAGCCUUUACCUGGACCCAUAACCUGACGCCUAAUGUAACGAAAGCGUGGGUAGCCGAACAGGGAUUAGAUACCCCU